rnacentral:tRNA from 1 species
GGGCUUGUAGCUCAGUUGGCUAGAGCGUGCCCCUGAUAAGGGCAAGGUCGUUGGUUCGAUUCCAACCAGGCCCA